rnacentral:rRNA from 1 species
UACGUAGGGUGCGAGCGUUAAUCGGAAUUACUGGGCGUAAAGCGUGCGCAGGCGGUUCGUUAAGUUCGAUGUGAAAGCCCCGGGCUCAACCUGGGAACUGCAUUGGAAACUGGCGAGCUUGAGUAUGGCAGAGGGGGGUGGAAUUCCGCGUGUAGCAGUGAAAUGCGUAGAGAUCGGGAGGAACACCCGUGGCGAAGGCGGCCAUCUGGACCAGCACUGACGCUGAGGCACGAAAGCGUGGGGAGCAAACAGG